rnacentral:rRNA from 1 species
GAUGAACGCUGGCGGCAUGCCUAAUACAUGCAAGUCGAACGCAACUGACUUCGGUCAUAUAGUUGAGUGGCGAACGGGCGAGUAACACGUAAAGAACCUGCCCCAAAGACGAGGAUAAGCAUUAGAAACGAUGUCUAAUACUGGAUAGGUAAUAAGGUCGCAUGACCUAAUUAUUAAAGAUGCGUAUGCAUCACCUUGGGAGGGCUUUGCGCCGCAUUAGCUAGUUGGUAGGGUAAUGGCCUACCAAGGCAACGAUGCGUAACCGGGCUGAGAGGCUGAACGGUCACACUGGAACUGAGACACGGUCCAGACUCCUACGGGAGGCAGCAGUAGGGAAUUUUCCACAAUGGGCGAAAGCCUGAUGGAGCAAUGCCGCGUGAAUGAUGAAGGCUUUCGGGUCGUAAAAUUCUGUUGUUU